rnacentral:rRNA from 1 species
CUGACCAGCACGCCGCGUGAGCGAGAAGGACUUCGGAUGUAAGCUCUUUUAUUUGGGAAGAAAGGUGCGGUGCCGGUACGACAUGAAUCAGCUCCUGCUAACUACGUGCCACCCGCCUAGUUCAUAGCCGCCGCGGUAAU